rnacentral:rRNA from 1 species
CUACGGGGGGCAGCAGUGGGGGAUCUUAGACAAUGGGCGCAAGCCUGAUCUAGCCAUGCCGCGUGAGUGAUGAAGGCCUUAGGGUCGUAAAGCUCUUUCGCUGGGGAAGAUAAUGACGGUACCCAGUAAAGAAACCCCGGCUAACUCCGUGCCAGCAGCCGCGGUAAUACGGAGGGGGUUAGCGUUGUUCGGAAUUACUGGGCGUAAAGCGCGCGUAGGCGGACUGUUAAGUCGGGGGUGAAAGCCCGGGGCUCAACCCCGGAACGGCCUUCGAUACUGGCAGUCUGGAGUUCGAGAGAGGUGAGUGGAAUUCCGAGUGUAGAGGUGAAAUUCGUAGAUAUUCGGAGGAACACCAGUGGCGAAGGCGGCUCACUGGCUCGAUACUGACGCUGAGGUGCGAAAGUGUGAGGAGCAAACAGGAUUAGAUACCCUAGUAGUC